rnacentral:rRNA from 1 species
GACGAACGCUGGCGGCGUGCUUAACACAUGCAAGUCGAACGGUGAACGAGGGCUCUUGCUCCCUCCGGAUCAGUGGCGAACGGGUGAGUAACACGUGAGCAAUCUGCCCCGAACUCUGCGAUAAGCGUUGGAAACGACGUCUAAUACCGGAUACGACGCGGGAGGGCAUCCUCUCCGCGUGGACAGAACUUCGGUUCGGGAUGAGCGCGCGGCCUAUCAGCUUGUUGGUGAGGUAUCGGCUAACCAAGGCGCCGACGGGUAGCAGGCAUGAGAGGGGUAACGGGCACACGGGGACUGAGAGACGGAGCAGACUCGUACGGGAGGCAGCAGGGGGGAAUAUUGCACAAUGGGCGCAAGCCUGAGGAAGAAACGCCGCGUGAGGGAAGAAGGCCUUCGGGUGGUAAACCGCUGUAAGCAGAGAAGAAGCGAAAGUGACGGUACCAGCAGAAAAAGCACCGGCUAACUACGUG